UGCAUUCUUUCGUCAAAUUCUUAGUAACCAUUGUCUUAACAUACCUUAUGAUUGUAUGAGAUAGAUGAAUAGCUUCAACUAGAGACAUCUCAACAAUCAGCUUAUCAAUCAUAGCCUUGCAUCUAACAUCAUCUAAGGCUUGUCUUGACUUUUUAGGACUCUUGGGGAAGGGAAUUCGCCGAUUUGCUGAAUUGGUUGCAGUUAGAAUUUGCACAUUGUCUAAUCGAACCGGGUGUCGAUCGACACCAUCGGGAAUUGUUUCCUCUUCCUCCGCGAAAUUGUCGAUUCCACUCGACAAAGGAAAAACAGAGUCGUCAAGAGUAAUUGGUGUCGAUCGACACCCUGGUGUAUCGAUCGACACUGAUUUGUUUUCUGCAAUUGGAGAAGAUUGAUAGUAGGAUUUUAGUCAAUUAAUCCUAAAACACUAUCCUGUCGUUGUAGUAUUUUAGGAUGUCAAUCCAAUCCGGUGUGAUGCAAACAGAUGAGAUAUGAUCAGAAAGCUCUAAGUCAAGCCAACAAGUUCAUGGGGUUAUCGAAUAGUGUGGUCUCCUUAAUCUAUUCAGGCGGUUGACAAAACUUCAUAGAAGCGAUCCCUAGACAACAAGUUCAACAACAGAUUAAUUCACUCCCGUGAUAGAAAUCCUCAAGCAAAGCUAGACACUGACCUAAAUCCCUUUAGCCAUCUCUAACUAAGCAGGCAUUAUUGAAUCAACAUGUUAAAGCCAAUACCCUAUCUACAGCCAAUCCCUUGGGGUAGAGUGAGAUAUCUCUGGAAUUAAUAGGAUCCAACGCCCAUGAAACGCCUUCUGAGCGCUGGACGUCGAGACUCAUAUUCCACAUUAGCUAGUGAAACAAGCAAUAAGCGCAACUAAUCCAGAAGGGAUUCUAGUAUUCUAAACUCAACCACCUAAAACGACCAAGUAAACCACAACUAAUCUAUCCCAUCCUCAGAAAUAUAGUUCACUACUCAGACAUAAUCAAAGACAAUAGCAAAGCAACGAUUGAGAACAUGAUAACAGAAAUGAUGAAAGACUUAGACGAAAACUGAAUAUCAAAUACUUGAAAGUGAAAAUACAAAGUCGCAGGAGAAACACUGCGACUAUCAAAGUUGCAAAAAUGUAAAAGCGAGAUAAUAACAGAUAAUAGCGAAUGCCCUAGGAAAAACCUUAAGAGGCAGUUUAUAUAGGCGAGAAAUGAAACAAUUAAGGAAACUAAAUAUAUAGCGAAUCUUCACGUCAUGAUCCUAGACCGAAUGUGUCAUUGGCAUCUGACGGGCUGAAAUGAGCUCCCUGUGAUCGAGUAUGUCAUUGAUCAAACUGGGCUUCAGGGGCUCCGCCUUGCGAUCGAGUGAGAUGCAGUGAAGUCGAGAUUGAAUGGUCCAGCGACCCUGUGAUCGAGUGCGAUCGAGUGGAUGUCAUGAGGUGGUGAUCGAGUGAUUGCUUCGGCUUCUAUUCUCUUCUUCGUUCUUAGCUUGUCUGGUUGAGUGCAGAACGAGCAGAUAGGCCUUCUGGUGAUCGAGUGGUGAUCGAGUGGUUCUGAUGGGGUGAUUCCUCCGGCUUUGCGAUUGAGUGAAACUGAGGUGCUGGCUUCUCCGGGGUUGCGAUAGAGUGAUUUGCCUUGGCAGGGCUCCGAGGCUACGAUAGAGUAGUUUUGCUAAAGGCGUCAUUGGGCAUUCUGACUUUCUUUUCUGUUUCUCCUUUGUUUGAACUCCAAAAGCAUCCAAAGUACCUGAAAACAACCAAAUAUGCAAUGCACAUGCAAUCCUAAUGCAAAUUCGUCCUAAGUAUGCAAAACACACUAAAACGACUCCUAAUGAGAUGAAAUGUGGAUGAAACAAUGACAAAGUGGUGAAGAAUGAAUGCCUAAAUCAUGCAAAUUAUAGACAUAUCAACUCCCCCAAACUUAGUCUUUGCUUGCCCUCAAGCAAACAAGAAGACAUAAGCGGAAGGAGAGGUUUGAAGUUGGGGAUUCAGAACCAAAGCAUGAGAUAUGACAAUUAAGAUCAAUGUACCAACUAACAGUUCUAAGAUGUUAGGUGAUCGACUUCUACUUAAAAACUUUAGCCAUGCUCUAUUAUGAUCCAAACCUACACUCAAAUGCACAAUGCGUCAAGAUCAACCAAUCCCUUUAACAUUCAUUAAGUUU
rnacentral:sRNA from 1 species